rnacentral:snRNA from 1 species
AUAAAUGCAAGAGAUCCCUCAGUCAAGAAGGGAGCUUCCCAGGGUGAUGCUUAGCCAUUGCAAUCCAGAUCUUCCAACCCUUGAGAUUUCCCCAAAUGUGGGAAAUUCUAUUGUUAGUUUGGGGACUAUGUUAUAACUUUGCCUUA